AGCAGCCGCGGUAAUUCCAGCUCCAAUAGCGUAUAUUAAAGUUGUUGCAGUUAAAAAGCUCGUAGUUGAAUUUCGGGGUUAGUAGGUUGGUCAUGCCUCUGGUAUGUACUGGUCUCACUGAUUCCUCCUUCCUGAUGAGCCGUAAUGCCAUUAAUUUGGUGUUGCGGGGAAUUUGGACUGUUACUUUGAAAAAUUAGAGUGUUUAAAGCAGGCUUUAGCUUGAAUACAUUAGCAUGGAAUAAUGAAAUAGGACGUUUGAUCCUAUUUUGUUGGUUUCUAGGAUUGACGUAAUGAUUAAUAGGGAUAGUUGGGGCAUUAGUAUUCAAUUGUCAGAGGUGAAAUUCUUGGAUUUAUUGAAGACUAACUACUGCGAAAGCAUUUGCCAAGGAUGUUUUCAUUAAUCAAGAACGAAAGUUAGGGGAUCGAAGACGAUCAGAUACCGUCGUAGUCUUAACCAU
rnacentral:rRNA from 1 species